AUUGAACGCUGGCGGCAUGCCUAACACAUGCAAGUCGAACGAGUGGCGGACGGGUGAGUAAUUUCUUGGAAACUGCCUGAUGGAGGGGGAUAACUACUGGAAACGGUAGCUAAUACCGCAUACCAUCGGAUGUGCCCAGAGGGGAUUAGCUAGUAGGUGGGGUAAAGGCUCACCUAGGCGACGAUCCCUAGCUGGUCUGAGAGGAUGACCAGCCACACUGGAACUGAGACACGGUCCAGACUCCUACGGGAGGCAGCAGUGGGGAAUAUUGCGCAAUGGGCGAAAGCCUGAUGCAGCCAUGCCGCGUGUAUGAAGAAGGCCUUCGGGUUGUAAAGUACUGUCAGCGGGGAAGCGUUACCCGCAGAAGAAGCACCGGCUAACUCCGUGCCAGCAGCCGCGGUAAUAC
rnacentral:rRNA from 1 species